AACAUUCCCUCAGUAAAAUAUUGUGGCGGCAGCAUUAUGCUUUGGGGAUUCUUUUCUGCUAAGGGAAAACUGAAGCAGAUCAAAUUUGUUUGGAAGAUGUAUAGAGCCAACUAAAGGGUAGAUGUGAAAAGAAACCUUCCCAGAGGCUAACGGCUCGAAACUUUUAAAAUAAACUGACUUGAGUUGCAUAGUGUUAGUAACGGAAAAGUGAAUUUUAAACAAUAAAAAAAAUUUAAUUGGCAUAAAUUUUAUGUGCUCUGUUUCAGUAUUCACCAUUGAAUCAUUAAUGAUUAAAGCAGAUGUUUCAGAACCCUUUUUUUAACGCAGAAAGCAUUAAUUCUUACAAAAAUAAGAGAAAGCAAAGAUCCUGAACUAAUUAAGCCUGAAACUGUUAGAUCUGCUAGAUUCAGAGCAGAUUGAUAUUAACCAUUUCUUCCUAUCGCACACCUUCUCCUGCGUCCUCCGUCUGUCGCUGUGGCUACAGCAACUGGCACAUCUGCAGCCCAUUCACAGGGUUCGCGUAGCUGUGGCGGUGAGACUACACACAUCCCACAGCCUUCUUUUAUUUUUAUCCCAGUUAAGACGGAUCGUGGAGCUCUGGGAUGUGUCCAGGCCGAGUUCGGGAGCUCCGACAGCCUGCCGCAGCGGACAGACGAAAAGGAAAGCAAGUCACAGAUAUGGCAGGAAAAGGUUCUCAGGAUGUGGUGAACGCUUUGAGACACAAAUAGUCCGAAUGAAGAAGGCCGUAUCACCUACAAGGACUUUUCCCUGCCAGGUAGGAAUUGGAGGAAGCGGAAGGGAAGUGAAGGCAGUCCGUCUUACGUAUUGGCUUUUGGCUUUGAUGAGACUUUCUCACAGAGCAGCUUGAAUCCAGGCCUCUGUAAUCCUCUCUGAUUUGCAAAUUCAUCUCCAGAAAUCCCUAAAGCCCAGGGCUUCAUACGUAAAGCUUUAUCUGAUUUUGUUAGAGUGUAAUUAGAGUUUGGAAUUGGAAGGAAAAUAAUGGGAUUUAUCUUCUCAACACUGCCAAAAAAACAACAAAAAAAAAAGUGGAAAAAGUUGUAGAAGAAGGAUACAGGAUGCUUUGUAUGAAUAUUUGAAGAGCCAUCCCCUUUGAAAUAUAUUUCCUCUCAACUCAGAUUCCUUCCAGGAAGCUUGUUUGUCAUGAUAUCCUCUUUUCAGUGUGACUUUUUUUUUUUUAGGGAAAGGUGUGAUAGCAGGCUGCCAUCAGAAAGAAUGGGGGCAACAUCUGCCUGUUCCUUCACUGGCACAUUGUCUUCGCUGCUUGAUCAGAUGUCUGCAGUCCCAAUCAGCUUGUGGCAGAUUUAAAUAACCGUUACCUGUCAUAUUUAUCUGACAGACUACUCUAAAUGUUUGGGGGUUUUCCACUCUUUCCACAAUUUUGAUUUGCCAUGCCACAAAUGCCAGUGUCAUUUAUUUGGGGAUUUAGGUCAUGAACCAAAACAAAGUAGAUUGAAUUUCCAUUUCUUCGCCUAAAUAUUAUAAAUGGCAUGCACACAGAGUUAGCUCAAAUGACAAAAUACCUUUACUCCCGUUUGCUGCAGUUGGAGCUGAAGGUGUUUGGAGUUUGCCUCUUGUCUGUUUGUCCUUACUUCUGAAAUUCAGUUGGAUUUGUGAACACAAAUGUUAAUAUUUUUUAAACAAAUUCUCAUUUGCCUUGAGGUCUGGUCUGGUCUUUGAUUAGGCCAUUAUAGCACAUGUAUACAGUAUGCGUUGGUCCAAACCAUUUCAUAGUACCUCUGGCUGCAUACUGAACCUCCACCCCACUCCUCUUCCAGAACCGUUCGCCUUGUAUUUAACUACAUCCAACUUUUCAUCAAACCUGACAAGCUUCCCUGGUCCUGCACAAAAUUUUAAUGAAAUUACUUCUCACCACAUCUCUAUAAACACCAGAUCUGUGGAGUGCAAGAUAAAUAGUUGUUGUGUUUCAGCUACUUUACUGAUCGAUACUCCCCCUUGUUCAGCCAGCAGAACGGACAUCUGCUUAGGCUGAAUACAAAACGCAACCUUGCAAGUUUUUCCCUUUUCCGUCUGUUCUUCCCGACCUGAAGAAAUAAGUCAUAUUAGAUCAAUCUAAAAUGUCUUAUGAUAGAAAACAGACAUGACUGGAAAGCAAAUUCGAGUAACAUAUUUGAAACUCAGCUUGUGAAUUCAUCUGUAAAAAAAGGUUUUCUGUUUUGACAGCCACAACCUGUUUGCAUUUGUCUACUGGCUGUGACACACUGAAGCUAAAGUGUAAAAUGAACUUUGAUGAAGGCUGAAACGUCAAUUGUUGAAACUGAGAUCAGAUCAUCGGAAUACAGAGCACUAAAAAAAAUGCAAUUAUACUUAAAAAUUUAUACAGGUAUUUCUAUCAUGUUCUUCAAGCUUUGGGGAAUUUAGCUUUUCCCCUAAGCUUUCUCCAUAAGGAUUGGUAUCACAUUAUUUUCCGUUCUAAUUAAAAAAAAAAACUUUCAAAGCCUGUUUGCGGCAUUUUUCUUUGCUUUCAUGAACAAAACAAAUUACCCUUCUCAAAAACACCACGGCUUUCAACAGUAGCCCAUGUUAAUUAGCCUCAUCUACCAAAGUUACCUCCUAACCCAAACAUUCAUCAUGUUCCAUCCAGUUCAGGAUGAAGUUUACUUUCUUUGUCUUCCUGGGCAGAAUUAGGAAGUGGCAGCCGCGUUGGGGUGGAUUUUUAUUCGGAAGCAGAUUGUAAGUGGCUGCUGCUCUGCUGCUGAUAUUAAUGGCAUCUAUUUUUGUGAGACCAGAGCGAAGCCCGGUCCCUCCAACCCUGAUCGUCUGUUUCCUGUGUGAUGUUUAUCUACUGGGGUGGAGAUGCCGCCGUUCCGGAGUGAAAAGCAUCGUGGAAACAACCGCCGCUCACUCUGAACGACUCACGUUGUGAAGAUGAUCACUACUGAGAGCAUCAGAGGGAUCAGACGUGUGGUGAAGAACAUACAGACAGAAGAAAUUGGAUCUUUAAUUUAAGUUUGCCAUAAAAUCUGCAUUUAUUCAGAUAUGUGUUUGAUGUUCAUUUGUUGAUAAGGUACUAUUUCUGAUAGUCUAUUUGGGUUUUAUGUAUUUUCCCUCAAUUUAAGAUAUGGUCCAGAUUUUGAGACUUAGAAAUUUUGGUCAUCCUUACAUCUUUGUAGCUAUUGCCCUUACAUUUGUAAUAGUUUUGUCAGAUUGUUAUUAUCCUCCCUCACUUUCCAGGCAUUUGUAAUUAUUUUACUUCAUUUUGUCCGUUUGAUCUUGUUUAGGGUAAUGAGGAGUGUUUUUGGCCUACAUACAAAUGUGUGUCUGGAAGUUAAAUUUUCGUCCCAAAAGAAUAAGUUAGUUGAAAUUGAGAGUAAAGCGAUAACACAAUAUGCUUAAAAUGUUAGAUUUUCCAUUUUCCUUAGUCAUUUUUAUGCAACAUAUGUGUAUGAUUUCUACAUAGAAUGACACUGAUAAUGUAAGAGAUAUUCUUUUAGGGUGUUUUUUUGUAUUUUUGUAAUUUUCAAAUUGCAUGCAUUUGUUUUUUUCUGUUACUUUGCGUUAAACGUAAUUUCCCAUUGAGGUAAAUAAUUUAAACCUAAAGACAAACUUUAAAUUGUUCUUUAAUUUAAAAAUCUACAUAAAUUUAAUAUAGCUGGUCUAUAAACAAGCUAUUUGGUUUCAGGAAGCCAUGUUGCUUUGUCGCCUUGAAUACAUUUUGUUUAGUUGGAUCAACGGCAGAAAUUGCUCUCGUGCGGAAAAAGGUCGUAAAUCUAAGUAUAAAACAUUAAAGUUUUUGGCGGUCACCUGACAAAAAGUAACACUAAAAAGGUAUAAAUAAUUUUCAAAGAACUGCAUUCAAAUGCCUGUUAGAUUGUUUAAGAAAACUGAGAUUUCAUUGUGUUUUAAGUCUAAUUUAAAACUUGAUCCUUUCUUUGUUGUUUACUUAACUUUAUUUUGUGGAUGAAUUGAUCAGGUUGACUACAUUAUCUUGCAAGUUGUCUUGUGCGUUGUGUGUUUUUUUGUUGUUGUUGUUUUUUAUGCUAUAUAAAUUUGUUAGCAUAAAUUUUAUGCUAACAAAUUUCCCUCAGAGUGACAAUAAAAGUCAGAACUGAAAUAAACUGGUCUAUCUCUGUUCUGAAUCACA